UGGGGAAUAUUGCACAAUGGGCGAAAGCCUGAUGCAGCGACGCCGCGUGCGGGAUGAAGGCCUUCGGGUUGUAAACCGCUUUUAAUUGGGAGCAAGCGAGGUGNGNGUGACCUUUUGAGUAAGCACCGGCUAACUACGUGCCAGCAGCCGCGGUAAUACGUAGGGUGCAAGCGUUAUCCGGAAUUAUUGGGCGUAAAGAGCUCGUAGGCGGUUUGUCACGCCUGGUGUGAAAGUCCAUCGCUUAACGGUGGAUCUGCGCCGGGUACGGGCAGGCUAGAGUGCAGUAGGGGAGAUUGGAAUUCCCGGUGUAACGGUGGAAUGUGUAGAUAUCGGGAAGAACACCAAUGGCGAAGGCAGAUCUCUGGGCUGUUACUGACGCUGAGGAGCGAAAGCAUGGGG
rnacentral:rRNA from 1 species